rnacentral:rRNA from 1 species
UGCAGGCUGCAACUCGCCUGCGUCAAGUUGGAAUUGCUAGUAAUCGCGGAUCAGCAUGCCGCGGUGAAUACGUUCCCGGGCCUUGUACACACCGCCCGUCACACCAUGAGAGUCGGGAACACCCGAAGUCCGUAGUCUAACCGCAAGGAGGGCGCGGCCGAAGGUGGGUUCGAUAAUUGGGGUGAAGUCGUAACAAGGUACC